GAUAUGGAGAAUGAGUCCCAGAGUGGGGAAAAUAGAAACAAGAAGCAAAGCAAAAGCCUGAAAAUGGUGGAUUACCAUUAAUGAAGAGAUAAUGAAAGGCAUUCUUAACAUGUCUGCAAAUCCAGAUGCCUUGGCAAUUUGUUUCAGAAGUGUUCAGCAAAAUUUUGCUUCCAUUCAUGAACUUCACAUCACUUGACAAACAUGACUGCUGUCAUCUUCCCUGCACGACAUGAACACAGCCUUCUUUCCCAGAAUCAUGGAAUGAAACUCCAGUUUUGAAGAUACACAGGACAAAAUAAGACAUUUAUGAGAGAAGGCACGACUGGUUGAGAUGGGCCACAAGAUGACAUCUAUUACCCUUAUGUAUUCUUCCUAGCGGGGUGCAUCCUGGCUGUAUAGAUGUGAAGAAAAAUUACCAGCCCACAGAACCUUUUCAAGGUCAAACAAUUGAUCUUAGGAUAAUACAGUCUGCACAAUACAGAUAAUGAAAUAAAACCACCAACAUUGACCCUCUGAUUCAUUUUGGAAAUGGGGUUCCCUGAAAGCCUGUUCCAAUCCUCCAU